rnacentral:rRNA from 1 species
AUUAGUUGCCAUCAGGUCAAGCUGGGGACUCUAAUGAAACUGCCUACGGCAAGUAGUGAGGAAGGUGGGAUGACGUCAAAUCAGCACGGCCCUUACGUCCAGGGCUACACACGUGCUACAAUGGCCGGUACAAAGGGCAGCUACCUGGUGACAGGAUAGCUAAUCUCAAAAGACCGGUCUCAAGUUCGGAUCGGAGUCUGCAACUCGACUCCAUGAAGUUGGAAUCGCUAGUAAUCGUGGAUCAGCAUGCCACGGUGAAUACGUUCCCGGGCCUU